rnacentral:rRNA from 1 species
AGUCGUAACAAGGNUUUCCGUAGGUGAACCUGCGGAAGGAUCAUUAC